UACGUAGGGCGCAAGCGUUGUCCGGAAUUAUUGGGCGUAAAGAGCUCGUAGGCGGCCUGUUGCGUCCGCUGUGAAAUCCCGGGGCUCAACCCCGGGUCGGCAGUGGAUACGGGCAGGCUAGAGGUAGGUAGGGGAGAAUGGAAUUCCCGGUGUAGCGGUGAAAUGCGCAGAUAUCGGGAGGAAUACCGAUGGCGAAGGCAGGUCUCUGGGCUGACACUGACGCUCAUGCACGAAAGCGUGGGGAGCAAACAGG
rnacentral:rRNA from 1 species